CCUGCCAGUAGUCAUAUGCUUAGUUCAAAGAUUAAGCCAUGCAUGUCUAAGUUUAAGGUGUGUUGUUGCAGUCAUAGUGAUCUCGGUUAUUAUGAUUGUAAUGUAUCACUUCUGAAACUGCAUAUGGCUCAUUAAAUCGGUUGUAAACUCUCACAAACAAUAACUUGCCAGGUAUUUAUACUUGGCAUAAUAAAUGGAUAUCUGUGGGAAUUCUAGAGCUAAUACAUGAUCUCUCUUAAUGAGGGUUUUAUAGGUAAGCAAUUACUUAUAAUACGCGUUCAAUAUCCAUUGAAUCUAAAGACCUUAGACCAGUCAGUUAUUAAUUUAUUAAUAAUUGAUCCUAAGGUUGAGUCCCAUUGAACUCAUAGAAUUGCCAAUCACAUAAAUUUAUUAAUAUGAAUAAUGUUAAUAAAGGGUGAUAGUUUGUAGAGACUUCCGACUCAUCAGCUUAUGUUGGUAAAUUAUAGGUUUACCAAGGCGUUGACGGGUAACGGAGGAUUGGGGUUUGAUCCCGGAGAGGGAGCCUGAGAAAUGGCUACCACUUCUAAGGAAGGCAGCAGGCGCGCAAAUUACCCAAUGUCAAAUUGAUGAGGUAGUGACGAUCAAUAACGACGUGGACUCUCAAUUGAGGGUCCACGAUCGGAAUGAGCUCUCCCUAGACCAUUGAGCGAGUAACAAUCGGAGGAAAAGUCUGGUGCCAGCACCCGCGGUAAUUCCAGCUCCGAUAGCAUAUAUUAAAGUUGUUGCAGUUAAAAAGCUCGUAGUUGAUUUUCAGUGCAAUGGUUAUGAAAUCUAUAGGAUGGCUUAUUUUAAUGGGGUAUUUGAUAGUAGCAAUACUGUCAAGUAUUUUUCAUGGUAAGUUUAUUUUAUGGAACCUUCAUGAUCAAUAAACGGUUAAAUUCCAUUCGGUACGUUACCGCGAGUAAUGUUAUCGAGACCGAGCACAAGAUUAAAGGUUAUUAUUUAGCAUUCGUGUUAAGUAAUGAUUUUUAAUCUAUACCUGGAGUAAAUUAGGGUGUUUAAAGCAGGUGGCUCUUCUGAGCGCCUUGAAUAGUUGAGCGUGGUAUAUUAAUUACCUUAAUUUCGGAUCCCAAUACCUAAUAUUUGGUGUUAUAAUGGUAGCAAUAUCAUUAUAAAGGUCUUUAGAAGGUAUUUAAUGCAAUUACGAUUGUAUUUUUCCUUUAUUAAUUUAUUAAUAAAGGAUGGGAAUUUAUUGAUGAGGGUGGUCAGUGGUGUUAGUAUUUAGUUGUCAGGGUCAAAUUCUUGGACCAACUAAAGACUAUCUUCAGCGAAAGCAUUCACCAGGUACACUCUUUUUCAAUCAAGAACAAAAGUU
rnacentral:rRNA from 1 species